GGAUUCCGAUUUCUGGACCUCUCGCCUUGCCGCCGCUAAACGCCAGUAUAUGUUGCAGCAUCAUCACCAGACCUCCAACUUAGAUCUGUUGGGCAUCGAUGAUUUGGAGAUGGAUGAUGACGCCCGCCCUCAUUUUCCCUGCCCUUUUUGCUAUGAGAAUUUUGACGUUACGUCCCUUUGUUCGCAUCUGGAAGACGAGCACUCUUGCGAGACAAGAGUCACG
rnacentral:misc_RNA from 1 species